rnacentral:lncRNA from 1 species
GUCUCUCGAUUUUCUUAUUUUAUUAUUAUUUAUUUAUUUCCUUUUUCUUUUAAACACGGAAAUAAAAGGAAAAAUAGAAAGAGAAGGGUUACCUGAAAUCAGCCUGAAGUAUCGUCGUCGGUGGUUCCAUCACCGUCAUCGGAUGCUGGCUCAAAAAGGGUAAAAGAUCCUUUCUUCUUUGGUCUGCUGGGUCAAAAAAGGGGCUUUCGAACGGGAUUUAAAAGUGGGUUAAAAAACCAAGCUUCUUGACUCCCCGCCGUCGUGCACGGCGGUGCCGGUGCGGUGGCGCUCGACCGGGCCAUUGGCUGGACUCUAUGACCAGGGGAGAGAGCCUGAGAGAGAAUGAACAUUUUUUCUGGAAAAAGAAGACGAAAUGAGCAUUUUUGAAAAAAAAUUAGUUUUUAUACUAGUAAUGAAACGGCACCGUUUCGUCCAGGAAUAUUUAGUACCCGAACGGCGCCGUUUUGCACGACCCACGCGCUACCCGACCCGCUCCCAGGGAUCCGAGUGUUUCCUUUUAAAGUGGGAUAAUUUCCAUCUUGGUCCUCCCACAUUUUACACCUGUUUCAAUUCGAUCCUUCUGAUUACUUUUUUUAAUUUCUUUUAAUUAAGCCUAAUAAUUUUAUUUUCAUCACAUUCUAGUCCCUAAUGAAACGAUGCGUUUUGGAGGAGAAGGAAAAAUUUCCCUUUUAGUCCCUCCAUGUUAUACGCGUGUUCAGAAUAGUCUUCCCUUUUAUUUUAUUUACAGAUUUACCCCCAAAGCUCUGUUUUCAGUUCAAAUUAAUCUUUUUAUAUUUUUUAAUUAAUUUUGAUGAUGCUGUCAUUAUUUUUACCAUUAUUAUUUUUAAUAUUGUUAUUAUCAUGUUUGUUAUUAGUUACUCAUUCAGACCUUUUCAAUUUUAGAUUCAAUUAUAUAUAUAUACAUGCAUAUCUUGGAUUUAUAUAUACAUGCUUCUAUACUUUUUACGUUUUAUAAUUUAUAUAUUAUACAUGCGUUUUUAUAACAUAUAUAUGCACAUACACGUACAUAUUUUUAUAACUUAUUUAUAUAUAUACAUAUAUGUUUUUAUAUACAUUAUAAUUUAUAUACAUAACGAUAUAUAUCUACAUACACAUUUUUCUUCCAUAAAUAUAUAUAUGCAUAUUUAUAUAUCCUUUAUAUUUUAAAAUAUACCCUUUUUACAUAUAUAUUUUCUUAUUUUUAUAAUUCAUAUACAUAUAUAUUUUUAUAUAUAUUUUACAAUUUAUAUAUAUACAUAUAUAUUUUUAUAUACUUUAUAAUUUCCAUAUGCAUACAUAUAUACAUAUUUAUACUCUUGUAUUUUUAUAAUUUUGUUCACGUUCCUUUUAAUUAUUUAUUCAUGUUUUCAUCAUUAUUUUAAAAGAAUGUUUUAACUUUACUUGCUUAUUAUACUUGUUAUUUUGCAUGUUAUUAAUUUGACCUUUUUAUUUGUUCAUUUUUGUUAUUGCUCGUAUUAUUUUUACUUACAUUAUCAUAAUUGUUAUUCCGUUAUAUAUAAUUUUUACCCAAAUUCGUAAAAAAUAGAAAAUUUUGAAAAUAAAGGCAAUACUCGGUAUUUGGGAUCUUCGAGAGGAUUGAGCCCUAACGUAUUGGGUUCCAAUUUUCUUCGUUGAAUCUAAAUAAUCGAGAAUGCUCUUUAAUCAAAAAACAUAAAUAAAAAGCUCAUUAUCGGGAAUUCAAUACGUUGUGACCUAACGCAUUGGAUAUGACACGUUGUUUUCUCGAGAUGAGGAUUUUUCUAAAAAUAAUAAAGGCAAUAUUCAAUGUUUAGAAUUUUGAGAAGUUGUGCCCUAACGUAUUGGGCUGCGAUUUUUUCAUCUGACUUAAACAAUUGAAUAUCCUUUUAAAUUUUAUUGCACGAGUUUUUGGAUAAGCUCAUUUUUUGAGGAGGUGAAAUACUAUGCCCUAACUCAUUGGGUAUGACAUUUUCUCUCUCCGAAAUGAGAGGGUCUUAACACCUACUUUGAUUUAUACAAGUUUUUUUAAUACAAGAACCGUAUUUUAAAAUCUUUACACAUUUUUUAUAUUAAGGCACUAAUUAAUCAACAAUGUACCAAUUUUGGGCGUGUCGAGGGUGCUAACCCUUUCUCGUGCGUAACCGACUCCCGAACCCGUCUUCUGGAUUUUAUAAGACCAAAAUUAUCAUUUUAAUAAAUUUAAAUUUUUAUUAAAAUGAUUUAAUUAUAAGGUGAUCCGAUCACACCUAAGUAAAAAAGAUUGGUUGCGACUCCCAUUUUUUUUAUUUUUAAAAUUCAAGUCGACCUCGUUUUAUCAAAAAAAAAAUGGUGUCAACACUUUGAAUUUGAAAUUGUAGGAUGCCAUGGCAUGAGAAAGGACAAGUUGAAGUUCUUUUUGGAGAAAGGUGAAGGAGGAGACGGAAGGGACGAUGGUAGUGGAGGUGGGGGAACCAGAAGAGGAACAUAAAUUUGCGGAUCAAAUUGAAAUCAUUUAUAAAAUUUAAAGAUUAAUUUUUUAAAAUUAUAAUUAAAUAAAUAUAUAUAAAAAUUAAGAAUUAAAUUUAUUAUUAUAUUAAUUUUUUAAUUAUCAUAUCACCCUCCCAUCAAAAUUUAAUGGGAAACGGACCCAAAAAAAAACUCCAUUUAAAGAUGGGAUCUCCCACCCUUCAUUGAAUGAUGGCUGCCUCAACUUUCAAAGCGAAGCAGCCGAAGGACAACAAUUAAGUGCCCAUGGAAAAUGGCUACAAUACGUGCCAACAAAUAACAAAUGAACACGACAAAAAAGAAAACAGAGAAAAGGUACAAAAAUUAAAGGCUUAAUUCUUAGUAUUUAAACUAUACUAAUUUCUCAUCUUGG